GAGUUACAGUUUCCUGGAGGAAGUGGAUACUUUCCUAAGCACUUGGGCUAUAUCAGAGAACAGAAUAAUACCAUACAUUCCAGAAAAUGUUCUCAUCUUCAGCUUAAUAGUAAAACCCUGAACAAAAAAAGUUUUGGCCGGGUGCGGUAGCUCACGCCUGUAAUCCCAGCACUUUGGGAGGCCGAGGCGGGCGGAUCACGAGGUCAGGAGAUCGAGAUUAUCCUGGCUACAGUGAAACUCCAUCUCUACUAAAAAUACAAAAAAUUAGCCGGGCGUGAUGGCGGGCGCCUGUAGUCCCAGCUACUCGGGAGGCUGAAGCAGGAGAAUGGCGUGAACCCGGGAGGCAGAGCUUGCAGUGAGCCGAGAUCGCGGCACUGCACUCUAGCCUGGGCAACAGACUCUGUCUCAAAAAAAUAAAAAAUAAAAAAUAAAAGUUUUUGCUUCAGAACACCUUGUGGAGCUGUUGAAACUUCUGGCGAGGGCGUCACCUGUGUGAUGUGGGGUGAGAAGUCUUCUUCAUUCUAUCCACAGAAACCAUAGAAUGUGGCUUUCAUCAGUUGGUUGACCAGGUUGGCUUAGGUGUUAUAGUGCCAGCAACAUUUCCAUGAGCUUCCUUGCUCAGUGCCUCUCUGCCCACCUGCACUUUGUGUCAUUUCUAGGCUCCCCAUCGUUGCAGACAGAUGGAAUCACGGCCACUCCUGUCCCACCUCCACCUCCCCCCAAAAGCAAGCCCUAUGAGGGCAGCCAGAGGAACUCCACUGAGCUCGCUCCCCCACUGCCUGUCCGAAGAGAAGCCAAAGCACCACCCCCUCCACCUCCAAAGGCUCGGAAGUCUGGCAUCCCUACUUCCGAGCCUGGAUCCCAGUAAGGAUCUUGCCCUCCCUGCAACACCGAGUGCCUUAGACAGCUGCUGCCUGAGAACUGGCCUCCAGCCAGUGUCCUCAUUCCAUGGGGCUCCCUGCUGACUGCAUUUCCGGAUCUGGGAUGAUGUUUACCAGCCCAAAACCGGUCAUGUUCUUCCAAAAGCUUCUCUUUGAUAGAAGUUUGAGGCCAUGCCACCUCCUUUCCAGUCCAUAUGGAAUUCCAGAAUCAGUCACAGCCUCUGAAUUUUUCCAAGAGAUUGCAUUCAUCAUUGUUAAAUGUCAGCCUGUACGGCAGAGACGUGGUAGUCUGCACAAGCCUGGACAAGUUCUUCCACAUUGAUGGUGGAGCAACCCCUGUAAUCUACUCCUUGGAAGGAUUUUUUGCUUUGCUUAUGAAAAGCUGUGCUUGAGACUUAGGUACUUUUCUCACGUGGACACACUGAUCCCAUCCCAUAUUGCACCUUGGAAGAGAUGGAUAUCAAAUACACUUUGGUAGCUGAAAUAAUCAUAUCUUUCUGAUGUCUGUUGUAUCUCCUUUGAGGAAAAGAACACACAUUUUUAAUGGAGAUUGGCUGCUUUCAGGUAUGUGUGGCUAUCAUUGAAAGAGCAUGGACUCAAACGUCAGCCCUGAGUUCUUGAGUCCACCCAACUCCCGUCUUUCUUGUGGCAAAGGAAAGCUGCUGUCUCCCUCUCCCACCACACUCCUGACUAAUGGCCUUCACUGCACUGCAGUCACUCCUUCCCUACGGACUUCUUUGAAGCUCUUCCUUUUGCACAUACGGCUUUUUUUUUUUUUUUUUUUUUUUUUUUUUGUCCUAUUACCUCCUCUGAGCGCAAAUCACUGGCUACAAGGGACUUACCAGUCUGGAUUCAGCAGCUUCUUUUCUAGAACCCAUUUGGGUGACUCAGCAGCCGCAUCUGCUACCUGAUUUUAUCCUGGAGAAUACAGUGCAAUAUUUCUCUUUGAUU
rnacentral:sRNA from 1 species